CAACAACCCAAAGCAGAAACCAACAAAACAAGGCGGGGACGGCGUAAGCAGGCGCACACGCGCUCCAACACCCAGGUUUCUCUCUCCUCACUCCUCCUUCGCUUGUCGCUCCGCUUCACCCCAGCAGGGCAGAGCCCCGCUCUCCCUUCACACCAAAGAUUUCCUCUUCCGCGUGCGCUUCCCUUUGCCCCGCUCUCCCCCAGCCUCGCUCGCCAUAUAAUACGGGCCGGCCGGCCGGCCAGCUGGGUCCCCGCGGAUGGGCUCGGUCUCGCGAGGCUAGGGUUUGGUCGGUCGUCUCGCCGGCGUCGAGGCCGCCAGCGCUGCUAGCUAGCUCUCUCGCGUUAGGGUUCCCCGUAGCCAUGGUGCUGCAGCGCUUCUCGUGGCCGUACGGCGGCCGGAGCGCCACCUUCUGCGGUAGCUUCACCGGGUGGAGAGAGUGUCCCAUGGGGCUGGUCGGGGCCGUGUUCCAGGUCGUCUUCGAUCUGCCCCCCGGAGUUUACCAGUACCGGUUUUUGGUUGAUGGUGUCUGGAGGUGUGAUGAGACAAAACCCUUUGUACGUGAUGAAUAUGGACUGAUCAGCAAUGAAGUGCUUGUGGAAAACAAUGUACAACCUGUUGUGCAGCCAGAGCCUUCUAUCAGAGGAACUAAUAUGGAUAAGGGUACCAUUUUGAAAACAAUGCCCCCGGAGCCAUCAUCUCAGAACCCAAGCAUGCAAAUAGCAGUUAUCCGCCAUGUGGUCUCUGGAAUAUUAUUACACAAUACCAUAUAUGACGUUGUUCCCCUUUCUAGCAAGUUAACAGUUUUGGACACUCAGCUUCCUGUUAAACAAGCAUUUAAAAUAAUGCAUGAUGAGGGUCUUGCUCUGGUUCCUCUUUGGGAUGACCGUCAGGGAACCAUAACAGGCAUGCUCACUGCAUCAGAUUUUGUUUUAAUCUUGAGAAAGUUGCAGAGAAACAUUCAAGUUAUUGGCAACGAAGAGCCCAUUUCUGCUUGGAAAGAAGCAAAGCUACAGUUCUAUGGUGGGCCUGAUGGUGCUGCCAUGCAGAGAAGGCCAUUAAUCCAUGUUAAGGAUUCAGAUAAUUUAGUGGAUGUGGCACUGACUAUAAUCAGAAAUGAAAUAUCUUCAGUUCCUAUCUUUAAGUGCAUGGCAGAUUCAUCAGGGGUGCCUUUCCUUAAUCUUGCAACCUUACAGGGGAUCUUGAAAUUUCUUUGCUCGAAGCUACAAGAAGAGGCUGAGGGCUGUUCCCUUCUGCACAAUCAGCUUCUCAGUAUUCCUAUUGGUACAUGGUCUCCACAUACGGGGAGGUCAAGUAGCAGGCAACUCAGAACUUUGCUACUGAGUUCUCCUCUAAAUACCUGCCUGGAUAUUCUGCUUCAAGAUAGAGUAAGCUCAAUUCCUAUAGUUGAUGACAAUGGAUCCCUCCGUGAUGUCUACUCACUCAGUGAUAUCAUGGCUCUGGCGAAGAAUGAUGUUUAUGCUCGCAUCGAACUUGAACAAGUGACCGUACAAAAUCAUUCAACACAAGUCCUUUGCAGUAUUGUGUUCCAUCAGAAUGGAAAAUGCAAACAAGAUUUGUGUUCCACUCUUAAGUCCAAUAGCCCAUUAUGUUUAAUAUAUGAAUAAGUCUAUUUUAGAAUCACAUCCUGAAUUACGAAACAGGUUAUUUACCUUUUCAUCUUGACAGAACUGACCAGAUGGCUGCAAACAACGUGGUAGCUGUAGAUUGUGACAGAACUGACCAGAUGGCUGCAACUUGCCUCGUCAAUACUUCAGAGCUUGUUAAUGUCUACUCAAAACAAUAGUCGUGGUAGGAUCUGAAUGCGGUGAGUGGUGCAAAUAUGAGUUCUUAGGUUGGGGCUCAUUUCAACGGUGGUGGCAGAGCACCUAGGAUAUGGUCUGACGGAGACAACAUUGGAUUAAGGAGAGUUGAUGGUAAAUUAGCUCCUCAAACUUGCUUUGAAUCUAAUCAGAGGAAGCAGGCAGAACAACCCAAAAAAUAGACUCAGGCCUGUUUGGCAGAGCUCGGCUCCUAGAUUCUCUGGCUCUGCUCUUUGAUUCUCUAGUGAAGACGUGAAGUGAUUGUACUUGAUUAUGGUGGGGGAGCAGGGUGGGAGUAGGUGAGAUUUGAUUCUAGAUGGUUUUGAACAGGGAGUAGUGGAUAUCAGGUUUUUUAGCUGCCACCUUGUAAUGUAAAUGGAGAAGUGAUUCUUGCCUGCGUCCAUUCAAAGUGUUGACUUUAUAGCAGUUGUUAAUGUUUUUAUAUUUCAUCAUAAGACUUGCAUAAUUGGUUCUCAGAGAAUAAUACAAUCCUUGUCUUUUACUCUAUAUUAGGCUUUGGAUGUGCAAUACCAGGUGCAUGGCCGAAGACAGUGUCAUACUUGUUUACAGACGAGUACCUUGCUGGAAGUUUUGGAGGGAUUGUCCAUUCCAGGAGUGCGACGGCUUGUUGUUAUUGAACAAAGUACCAGAUUUGUGGAAGGAAUCAUCUCAUUGAGAGACGUAUUUACAUUUCUCCUUGGAUAGCAUGUGUAGCCAUUCCAUACAUGAAAAAGCUUGCUGUACUUGGUUCAAACGAAAUAAAAAGCUUACAAAUGUGAUAGUCAUCUUCUUGUUUCCA